UGGGGAAUAUUGGACAAUGGGCGCAAGCCUGAUCCAGCCAUGCCGCGUGAGUGAUGAAGGCCCUAGGGUUGUAAAGCUCUUUCACCGGUGAAGAUAAUGACGGUAACCGGAGAAGAAGCCCCGGCUAACUUCGUGCCAGCAGCCGCGGUAAUACGAAGGGGGCUAGCGUUGUUCGGAUUUACUGGGCGUAAAGCGCACGUAGGCGGACUAUUAAGUCAGGGGUGAAAUCCCGGGGCUCAACCCCGGAACUGCCUUUGAUACUGGUAGUCUUGAGUUCGAGAGAGGUGAGUGGAAUUCCGAGUGUAGAGGUGAAAUUCGUAGAUAUUCGGAGGAACACCAGUGGCGAAGGCGGCUCACUGGCUCGAUACUGACGCUGAGGUGCGAGAGCGUGGGGAGCAAACAGG
rnacentral:rRNA from 1 species